UCCCCUCCCCAGUGAGAAUGCCCUCAAUAUCAAUCUAGAUCAAGAGGAGCAGGUAUUAAGCACACUAACUAGUAGCUCAAGAUGCCUUGCUUAACCACACCCCCAAGGGAUACAGCAGUGAUAAAAAUUUAGCAAUGAACGUAAGUUUGACUAAGUUAUGCUACUCUAGGGUUGGUAAAUUUCGUGCCAGCCACCGCGGUCAUACGAUUAACCCAAACUAAUAAACACCCGGCGUAAAGUGUGAUUUAAAAUCAAAUAAUAACUAAGCUGUAAAAAGUAAUAGUUGUAAACAAAAAUAAACAACGAAAGUGAUUUUAUAACCUUCGAACUCACGAUAGCUAAGACCCAAACUGGGAUUAGAUACCCCACUAUGCUUAGCCUUAAACCUAAAUAUUUCUAUAACAAAAUUAUUCGCCAGAGAACUAAAGGCCAGAGCUUAAAACUCAAAGGACUUGGCGGUGCUUUAUACCCGCCUAGAGGAGCCUGUUCUAUAAUCGAUAAACCCCGAUAAACCUUACCACUCUUUGCCAACUCAGCCUAUAUACCGCCAUCUUCAGCAAACCCUAAAAAGGAGCAAAAGUAAGCUCAAUCAUCACCAUAAAAACGUUAGGUCAAGGUGUAGCCUAUAGAGUGGAAAGCAAUGGGCUACAUUUUCUACUUUAGAACACACGAAAGCCCCUAUGAAACUCUAGAGGCCAAAGGAGGAUUU
rnacentral:rRNA from 1 species